GUGCCAACCGCCGCGGUAUACCGGCGGCCCGAGUGAUGGCCGAUCUUAUUGGGCCUAAAGCGUCCGUAGCUGGCUGCGCAAGUCCGUCGGGAAAUCCACUCGCUCAACGAGUGGCCGUCCGGUGUAAACUCCACACCUUGGGACCGGAAGGCUCGAAGGGUACGGCCGGGGUAGGAGUGAAAUCCUGUAAUCCCGGACGGACCGCCGGUGGCGAAAGCGCCUCGGGAGGACGGAUCCGACGGUGAGGGACGAAAGCCAGGGUCUCGAACCGGAUUAGAAACCCCGGUAGUCC
rnacentral:rRNA from 1 species